rnacentral:lncRNA from 10 species
UGCUGAAACAGUUGUUACGGAGGCCUGUGUUAGUGACAGCUGGCCUGCCACAGCACCUCUUUGUUGCUUCAUCUGUGACCGAAGAGGACGAGUGAGGAGUAGGACCCUUGCGAAGGUUUUAGAUGCAAGCUUAGGAGGAUGAGGGGCGCUGUCCGAGGUCUGAGAGGCAGCCCGCACCCUUUGCCUCUGAAAUAACUACUUUUUGGAGGUGCCAGAGGAGAGAAUCGGUGGAGCGCCCUCCUGGAGUGGGAUCACAGCACCACCCAAGCCUAGAAUCGUCAUCUUCUGGAUCCACUCUCCAUCCUUCUCUACUCUGUCUGUGCUGUGGGAGGCUGACCCCAUCUGUUUACUUCAGUGGAGCACUAGAGCCUGCAAGAACUGAUUGUAUGCAUCUCCUCCUAACUCCGUGUUUGGUGACUGUGGUAGGAAUAUUUACACUAUGGACACUGGCAAAUACUACAAGUGAUGGAGUGGUCCUAAAAUGCAGCAUCAGCAUCUCCUUGGAGGAAAUAGAAGUUUAUGCCCAGAACCCAAACAACUUUGUCUGGAAUAUUAGACACUGUGUACUCUUUGGCUCACUGUUGGGCCAAAUUGCGUCCCUUCCUCCACCAAAGGAAAAAAAAGAAGAGGAAGUUUGGACACAGGCAAGCACACGGGGAGAGUGCCAUUUAAACGUGAAGACGGGCAACAACCCAAAUGAGAGAAUGUGAUUGUAUUUGGAGAUGGAGCCUUUGAAGAUGUGAUGGAGGUAAAUUGAGCCACCAGGAUGUGCCCUAAUCCAAUCUGACUGUGCUUACAAGAAGAGGAAAUUUAGAAACAUAGAGAAACACCAGGGAUACAGGCACAGAGAAAGGACCGUGGGAGGACACAGCAAGAGGGCGGCCAUCUGCAAACCAGGGAGCAAGGCCUUAGAGGAAACCAGCCCUGCAGGCACCUUGAUCUUGGACUUCCAGCCUCCAGAACUGUGAGAAAACACAUUUCUGUUGUUUAAGCUGCCCUGUCUGUAGUAUUUUGCUAUGAAAGCCCUAGACAACUAAGAUAACAGCUGAGACCAAAGAGUUAUGCUGAGGCAAAAUGUAAUUUUUUUAAAAGAAUGAAAAUGUUACAAAGGAUUUUCACUUAGCAAGGGUAACAGGAAUAAUAUUUUGAAUUAUUGAAUGGAUGCGUUUUUCAUACCCCCGUAAAUCCUGUUCUUCCACAGCCUUCCGCCAUUAGGGCUAAGCCAUAAACUGCAGGGUGGGUGAGGAUGGGCAGUGCCUGGAAUAAAAAGGUCAUUGAUGGCUUUGGUUUGCAAAGCUGACUUCAUUGACUCCAUAUUGAAAUAACAGUUUUGAAAUGCAGACUUUAUGGGGAGAGAUAAUGUUUAUUUUCUGAAUUUUAAA